rnacentral:rRNA from 1 species
AGAGUUUGAUCAUGGCUCAGGACGAACGCUGGUGGCGGGCCUAACACAUGCAAGUCGAACGAGGCUUUCCGGUGCUUGCACUGGAAAAUCGAGUGGCGAACGGGUGAGUAAUACAUGAGAAACCUGCCUUGGAGACGGGGACAACCUCGGGAAACUGAGGCUAAUACCCGAUAUCCCUGCCGAGUCGCAUGACUUGGCAAGAAAAUACUCAGGUGCUUCAAGAGGGUCUCAUGCCCUAUCAGCUUGUUGGUGAGGUAAAAGCUCACCAAGGCUUAGACGGGUAGCUGGUCUGAGAGGACGAUCAGCCACACUGGGACUGAGACACGGCCCAGACUCCUACGGGAGGCAGCAGUGGGGAAUCUUGCGCAAUGGGCGAAAGGCUGACGCAGCCACGCCACGUGUGGGACGACGGCCCUCGGGUUGUAAACCACUUUCAGCAGGGACGAAAAUGACGGUACCUGCAGAAGAAGCCCCGGCCAACUACGUGCCAGCAGCCGCGGUAACACGUAGGGGGCGAGCGUUGUCCGGAAUUACUGGGCGUAAAGGGCUCGUAGGCGGUUUGGUAAGUCAGAUGUGAAAACUCCAGGCUCAACUUGGAGACGCCAUCUGAUACUGCCAUGACUAGAGUUUGGUAGAGGAGUGCAGAAUUCCCGGUGUAGCGGUGAAAUGCGCAGAUAUCGGGAGGAAUACCAGUCAGCGAAGGCGGCACUCUGGGCCACAACUGACGCUGAGGAGCGAAAGCGUGGGGAGCGAACAGGAUUAGAUACCCUGGUAGUCCACGCCGUAAACGGUGGGCACUAGGUGUGGGACCCUGUCAACGGGUUCCGUACACGUAGCUAACGCGUUAAGUGCCCCGCCUGGGGAGUACGGCCGCAAGGCUAAAACUCAAAGGAAUUGACGGGGGCCCGCACAAGCGGCGGAGCAUGUUGCUUAAUUCGAGGCAACGCGAAGAACCUUACCUGGGCUUGACAUGCUGGGAAAAGCCAUAGAGAUAUGGUGUCCAUUUAUGGGCCCUGCACAGGUGGUGCAUGGCUGUCGUCAGCUCGUGUCGUGAGAUGUUGGGUUAAGUCCCGCAACGAGCGCAACCCUCGUCCUAUGUUGCCAGCGGGUAAUGCCGGGGACUCGUAGGAGACUGCCGGGGUCAACUCGGAGGAAGGUGGGGAUGACGUCAAGUCAUCAUGCCCCUUACGCCCAGGGCUGCAAACAUGCUACAAUGGCCGGUACAACGGGCUGCGACAUCGCGAGAUGAAGCGAAUCCCUUAAAGCCGGUCUCAGUUCGGAUUGGAGUCUGCAACUCGACUCCAUGAAGCCGGAGUCGCUAGUAAUCCCGGAUCAGCAACGCCGGGGUGAAUACUGUUCCCGGGCCUUGUACACACCGCCCGU